ACAAACAAUCAAAAGAUGUUAAAGAAACAGAAAAUAAUUUAUCUGGCCACUUUUAUAAUAGACCGUCACAUUCAGGCCCAUUGGUUCCUGGUUCUGGUUGGGCCAGGGGUGCGAAGGAAGUUGAUAAUGGACCUACAGUUUCAAACAGAGUGAACCUAUCGAAACUAUCCGGGCUAGUUGCAUCUAGGACUUUAUUGUCAGAAGAUCAGGAGCCAAAACCAGUUCCCUCCUUUCCCUACAGAAAAUCAAUUGAAGUAAGAAAAUCCGUCGAGGCGACUAAUGGAUCAGAGUCAAGAAGAAGGCGGGAUAAAAAACGUAUUGUUGAUCAAAGUCAAAUUGUAAAUAGAAGAGUCCCAACUGAAAAAUCAACUCCGGUUAGUUAUUAUAGUUGUUACUAAUUAUUAUUUAUUUCUUGUUUUUGUUUUUUGUUUACCAAUUAUCAAAUUUUUGGUAGCGAAAACCUUCCCUUGCUUCUAUAAGGAUUCGGAUCCUCUCGUGUUACACGAGCAACUCUCAUGUUAUAUUUAAAACCACGAUUGUCUUUAUCUUUGCUGAAUAAUUGAAUAAUGAACAACGAUUUGGGGCUGUAUUUUCAGGAUGGACAUGGAUCUAGUGGAAACAAGAUAUACAUGUCAGGUCCAUUACUGGCUUCAAACAAUAUGGAUCAGAUGCUCAAAGACCAUGAUCGUAAGAUCCAAGAGUUUUCAAGACGAGCAAGAGGUGAUAAAGUCCGUGCACAGAGAAAGUAGUUACAAAUUACUUAAAAUAUUUCUG
rnacentral:lncRNA from 1 species